UCCCUGGUGGUCCAUUGGUUAGGAUUCAGCAUUUUCACUGCUGUGGCUUGGGUUCAAUCCCUGGUAAGGAA
rfam:Ovis aries breed Texel chromosome 16, whole genome shotgun sequence.